rnacentral:rRNA from 1 species
UCACUCCUACGGAGGCAGCAGUGGGGAAUUUUGGACAAUGGGCGAAAGCCUGAUCCAGCAAUGCCGCGUGAGUGAAGAAGGCCUUCGGGUUGUAAAGCUCUUUUGUCAGGGAAGAAACGGUGAGAGCUAAUAUCUUUUGCUAAUGACGGUACCUGAAGAAUAAGCACCGGCUAACUACGUGCCAGCAGCCGCGGUAAUACGUAGGGUGCAAGCGUUAAUCGGAAUUACUGGGCGUAAAGCGUGCGCAGGCGGUUUUGUAAGUCUGAUGUGAAAUCCCCGGGCUCAACCUGGGAAUUGCAUUGGAGACUGCAAGGCUAGAAUCUGGCAGAGGGGGGUAGAAUUCCACGUGUAGCAGUGAAAUGCGUAGAUAUGUGGAGGAACACCAAUGGCGAAGGCAGCCCCCUGGGUCAAGAUUGACGCUCAUGCACGAAAGCGUGGGGAGCAAACAGGAUUAGAAACCCUAGUAGUCCCAUGAU